GCGCACCAGUCGCGAAACCUCCGCAAUACACGAAAGUGUGACGGGCCAUCCCGAGUGCCGUCCGCUGAGGACGGCUUUCCCCAGUGUACACAGCUGGGGAAUAAGGAGAGGGCAAGCCUGGUGUCAGCCGCCGCGGUAAUACCAGCUCUCCGAGUGGUGGGGACGCUUAUUGGGCCUAGAGCAUCCGUAGCCGGCUGGGCAAGUCCUCCGUUAAAUCCAACGAUUCAAUCGUUGGGCUGCGGGGGAUACUGUCCAGCUUGGGGGCGGGAGAGGCCGACGGUAUUCCCGGGGUGGGGUGAAA
rnacentral:rRNA from 1 species